UACGUAGGGGGCGAGCGUUGUCCGGAAUCAUUGGGCGUAAAGCGCGUGUAGGCGGCUCAGUCAGUCUGGUGUGAAACCUUGGGGCUCAACCCCAAGCCUGCACUGGAUACUGCUGAGCUUGAGUCCGGGAGGGGAGAGCGGAAUUCCUAGUGUAGCGGUGAAAUGCGCAGAUAUUAGGAAGAACACCGGUGGCGAAGGCGACUCUCUGGAACGGUACUGACGCUGAGACGCGAAAGCGUGGGGAGCGAACAGGAUUAGAUACCCUGGUAGUCCACGCCGUAAACGAUGGGCACUAGAUGUGGGCGGUGUCGACUCCGUCCGUGUCGAAGCUAACGCAUUAAGUGCCCCGCCUGGGGAGUACGGCCGCAAGGCUA
rnacentral:rRNA from 1 species